UACGUAGGCAGCAAGCGUUGUUCGGAGUUACUGGGCGUAAAGGGUGUGUAGGCGGUUCACUAAGUUCGGUGUGAAAUCUCCCGGCUUAACUGGGAGGGUGCAUUGAAAACUGGUGGGCUUGAGUAUGGGAGAGGUAAGCGGAAUUCCUGGUGUAGCGGUGAAAUGCGCAGAUAUCAGGAGGAACACCGGUGGCGAAGGCGGGUCUCUGGGCCGAUACUGACGCUGAGGAGCGAAAGCGUGGGGAGCGAACAGG
rnacentral:rRNA from 1 species